GCGAGCAGGCAGCCAACAGGCGGUUUUUUUUUUUGGCGAGAACGGCAUCACCGCCGGUUCUCGGCCCGUUGGUGAUGUCUCAACCCAUCACCAAUGAUCUUAAUCCAACGGGCCUUCGAACCGGCGCGAUAUCGUUUGACCCGCGGUCUCUAGUAUUGUAUGUAUCUGUGAAUCUGACGCAAACCCGGGGCGUGGGCCUAGCCCAAUAAACUUUCGGCCUGCCAGAGCACAAAGGAUUGCACAGCCCAUGUGCUGUCUUUUUUUUUAUUUUUGCAUUUUUUUCUUCUCAUUUGUUUUAAUAUUUUCUUUUCUUAUUUCUUUUCCAAUCCAGAU
rnacentral:lncRNA from 1 species